CCUACGGGAGGCAGCAGUGGGGGAUAUUGCACAAUGGGGGAAACCCUGAUGCAGCGACGCCGCGUGAGUGAAGAAGUAUUUCGGUAUGUAAAGCUCUAUCAGCAGGGAAGAAAACGACAGUACCUGCCCAAGAAGCCCCGGCUAACUACGUGCCAGCAGCCGCGGUAAUACGGAGGGGGCAAGCGUUAUCCGGAUUAACUGGGUGUAAAGGGAGCGUAGACGGUUGUGUAAGUCUGGAGUGAAAGGCCGGGGCCCAACCCCGGGACUGCUUUGGAAACUGUGUAGCUGGAGUGCAGGAGGGGCAGGCGGAAUUCCUGGUGUAGCGGUGAAAUGCGUAGAUAUCAGGAGGAACACCGGCGGCGAAGGCGGCCUGCUGGACUGAAACUGACGUUGAGGCUCGAAAGCGUGGGGAGCAAACAGGAUUAGAUACCCGGGUAGUC
rnacentral:rRNA from 1 species